CCGAAAAUAUUGGACAAUGGGCGAAAGCCUGAUCCAGCGACGUUGCGUGGAGGAUGAAGUCCUUCGGGUUGUAAACUCCUUUUCUAAGGGAAGAAGUUAUUGACGGUACCUUAGGAAUAAGCGGGGGCUAAUUCUGUGCCAGCAGCAGCGGUAAUACAGAACCCGCGAGCGUUAUCCGGAUUUAUUGGGCGUAAAGUGUUCGUAGGCGGUAUGGAAAGUCUGACAUUAAAUUUCCUGGGCUUAACCCGGGAACUGUGUUGGAAACUUCCAAACUCGAAGAUGCUAGGGGCUAUCGGAACGCACGGUGUAGGGGUGAAAUCCGUUGAUAUCGUGCGGAACACCAAAAGCGAAGGCAGAUAGCUAGGGCAAUCUUGACGCUGAGGAACGAAAGCGUGGGGAG
rnacentral:rRNA from 1 species